AAUGAAAGCAAACGAAACAGAGAAGAACAGGGGAGAAAGAAAGGAAAGAAAGAAAGAAAGAGAGAAAAGGGAAAAUCGAGGUUUUGAAGCUUUAAACUUUAAUAGGUAAUUCUUGAAGUCAUUCCAAGCAGGAGGCUACUUCUCAAUAAUGGCUGCCACUUGGAAGGAUUCACUUAUUAUCAUCCCUUCAGCAAGAAUUUCCGUGAAUGAUUAGUUGAAGCUCCUACAUUUGAUUCACAACUAAUUUAGAAUAAACCAUUACAAAAUUCAAGAAUUUAUCAACUAAGAACUUUUUAGUUCUAGCAUCCUCGGCUUUGUAUUUAUGGUAUAACGAUGUCAAUAAUUCCUUAGUUGUUUUCUUAACACUA